UACGGCAAUGCUUUUGUGAACUACAUUGCGGUACCAAGUACUUAAAAGACACAACACGUAAGGAUUAUAUAAAGCACAGAAUACUUGAUAAUGUAAAAUAAUCACAGGUGUCUAGGGACUAUCUGAAUGGUGCCAGACUUCUGAUGUUAACCAUCAUGAUUAUGGAUGUGACCUCAAGCCCAGAUCUCCUGCCACCCUGAAUUAGCCUGAACAGGCUCCAAGCAGCUGGCCCUGUGGGAAUGUCACAGGCUGGCUUUCUCUGUUUCUGCCCAUGGCCUUUGCAGCCUGAGCUCAGGAGUGCAGCUUCCUGGGGUUUGUGAGAGGCUACACACCAUGGGCCAGCCUCUAUGCCGGCUGCCUUCGCACUCUCAGGGUCUUUCUACCGUCACUACUUUAAGGCUGCUGGAGAGUGUCAAUGGGACUGAAUUUUGAAAGUUUUGUACCCAACUUGCUUGACAUUCCACUAAUACAACCUCUGACACUAAAGGUGAACCCUGUUUUAAUCACUUUCUCAGCUUGGAAGCCACCCCUUACUUCAGCAGCUUCUUGCUUUUAUCGGCUUGUUUAAUGUCCCCAGAACAAGAUGUUGACCUCCAGAGGAGAUACAGCGUUGGAAAUAGCAUAGGGGGCUACAAAUAAAUAUGUAGCACAGGAAGGGCCAGACAUGCUGUACAGACAGAUUACCUCACCACCAUCCAGACCUGAUUCAUGAAAUCCCAGUCCUUUCCUAUUAGGAGACAGUAAACCAUUUGCAUACAGACCUCAUCGGUGAAUGAAGAAUAGAAACCAUAGAAACUGCCCAUUAGGUGAACCAAAAUAGGCAGAAAUCUGUGCUUUCUUGAAAGGUCCUGAUUAUGUAAAUAGGGUCCUUAAAACACAGUUCAUGACAACGAACAAAACAUCUUAUUCUCAAAAUACAUAGAAGCAUGUGACUUAAAAAAAUCUUUGGGGAUGCCUUCAUUGUGAUUUAGUUUAUUCAACUUCUUCUGUUAGAAAAACUUUGAAAUCAUCAAACUGUGUCUGAGUCCACGAAUGGCAUUAUUAAAGAAACUAUAAGAAUAGUGGAUGGCAAUGCCCAGCGUCCCACAGCACAUGAUGCUCAAUCCUGAUCUCAACUUGGAGAUUCCUCCUGGCUUCUGUCUUUGGGACAAAUACUGUAUAUUUUGACAUCUCUUAUCAGGUACUUGUCAAAUAUCUGUUUUUUGUAAGCAUCCCACAAGGCCAUUUUCAAAAGAAAGAUGGUGAGAUUUUUGGGGCAUG
rnacentral:lncRNA from 1 species